rnacentral:rRNA from 1 species
GACGAACGCUGGCGGCGUGCCUAAUACAUGCAAGUAGAACGCUGAAGGAGGAGCUUGCUCUUCUGGAUGAGUUGCGAACGGGUGAGUAACGCGUAGGUAACCUGCCUGGUAGCGGGGGAUAACUAUUGGAAACGAUAGCUAAUACCGCAUAAGAGUAGAUGUUGCAUGACAUUUGCUUAAAAGGUGCAAUUGCAUCACUACCAGAUGGACCUGCGUUGUAUUAGCUAGUUGGUGGGGUAACGGCUCACCAAGGCGACGAUACAUAGCCGACCUGAGAGGGUGAUCGGCCACACUGGGACUGGGACACGGCCCAGACUCCUACGGGAGGCAGCAGUAGGGAAUCUUCGGCAAUGGACGGAAGUCUGACCGAGCAACGCCGCGUGAGUGAAGAAGGUUUUCGGAUCGUAAAGCUCUGUUGUAAGAGAAGAACGAGUGGGAGAGUGGAAAGUUCACACUGUGACGGUAUCUUACCAGAAAGGGACGGCUAACUACGUG